rnacentral:lncRNA from 1 species
AGGAAUUCAGUAUUGACUAUUAGAGUAUUCAAGUACUAAUUGAUGAGUGGAAUGAGCGACAGAAAUUGGUUGAACAAUCUGAUCAACUAGUCAGAUAAUCAGAAUUAGAACCUUCCAGUAUAAACAUCAGAAGGUUGUAAAGCAGCCAGGGCAGAAACUACAUACAUGCUACCUACCAACUGAAAAGAUGUCAAAGAGUAUUUCAUCUAUCUCUGAGGUUCGCAAAAAAGGGGGUAAACAGGGCGUCUGUGUUUCGUGCAAACUAGAUAGCCGAGUUCACGAGAGGUUUGUCUCUACAAAGUUAAGGCAAUCCCAAAUAUUUGUAAGUUUCUCAUAAUCUCUUUUUAUGAGUUAAAUUUCAUUGAUUUAGUGGGAAAAUCCAACAUAGAAGAUGUAUGCAAAAGGUAGAAAAAGCAUAUAUAUAUUUUUUUUAGAUGCACUCCAUGAAUUUAAUAUCUGAAGAACAAAAAUACUCCAUUUACUAAAAAUCCUAUAAGAAAGCAUGUGUCUUUACGAAUAGUUCUGAUUGAGAUUUGGUGGCAAGGAGAUGAUGCCACCAUAGAAGUUGUAUACGGUCGAAAUAGAUUUCGGCCUUCGCUCGUCCGAUCGAGUUCGAACGAUGAUCUAUCGAAGUAAGAUCUCGAAGGUGGAACAAACUAACCUCGAACCCGGGGGGCCGAGCCGUGUCAAGUUCGACAUCAUUAUCAAGCUCGAAUCCAAAUUGAACCAUGCUGCAAAGUAGAUCUAUCAUGCUUAUAAUCCAGAGACCAACCAACAUUGACCUCGAAUCAAUUCGAGAGCUCGAGCCAAGAUCGUGCUUGAACCAAGAUCAAGAGCUCGAGUCGAGAUCGAGCUCAAACCAAAAUCGAGGGCUCUAAGCAAGAUCGAGCUCAAACCAAAAUCAAGAGCUCUAAGCAAAAUCGAGCUCGCAGACAAAAGUCGUCGCAAUCCCACUAGAGAGAAUCUUGGCAGAAAUUGUGAAAAAACUGACUUAUCAUGGGUCUCCCACUGAAUGUUUAUUUUAUUAUGCUUAGAGCUAAAUCCCUCCACUAUAAAAGGGCUUGGUUACCAUUUCUGGAGGACAAGUUUUCCUCAGGCUUACAUUGUAAUAAAAACGCUAUAUUCUUCUACAGUAAAGAAUCGUUCUUUUAGAUUUCUUAAAUUGAUUCUAUUUGUUGAGUCCUAAGAUUCAUUAAUCCUUACAACCUUAUCUACUUCGCAUUCUCUGCAAUUCAUAUUUACAUUUUUAUUUAUCCAUAUAAUUUGUAUUAAGUUACGCCACAUAUCCUCAAAAUUACGCAUAAAUUCAACUCUAUCCAUUUUUCGGAUAAACAGUUUUGCGCCCACCGUGGGGCCGAGGAUAACAGUGGUUAUUUGAUACAAAUCUAAAAAGACACGCCAUUGUGCUUUGCGCUUAUUUCCGAAAACAUCUUGAAUCUCGGAUCAGCUACGAAUAACCAUCAAUCAAAUAGCUUCACCGAUCGAUAACGGGGCCAGUCUUCAAGACGAAAAUAACAACUUGACACCCAGUACUGAAAGAUCACUUGUGAACACCGUUGGAGCUCGAAUCGGAGCGCCAAUUGAUAUCAAUUCGCAUGUAGCCAUUGAGGCGAACCUACAUGCUGAACCCGAGAAUAUCAUCCAUGGUGGAACUCGGUCUACGGUUCGAGAUACUCAUAACGUCGAGGAAAACGGUGUUAGCUUGCGUAUGAUUUUCGAAAUGUUGCAACCCCAACAUGUAGUAAUAGCCCACUUGCAAAGCCAAACCCAGCUACAAAGCAGGCCGGAGCCCAAUCCACCCCGAGAAAUCACCCACAGAACGGAACCAGUCAUAGUGAAGUCAAAUGAGAAAGAAUCGGGGACUACUCCCGAAAUUGCUAAAUUGCUCGAGGAACUCACAAAGCGAGUCGAAACCAACGAUAAAAAAGUAAAAACUUAUAAUUCUAGGGUCGAUCAGAUCCCAGGAGCUCUACCAAUGAUAUAAGGGCUGGAUUCAAAAAAUUUCAUACAAAUGCCUUUUCCCUCGAGUGCGGCCCCAAAACCAAUCCCCAAAGAAUUCCGUAUGCCCGAAAUUCUCAAAUAUAACGGUACGACAGAUCCUAACGAAUACGUCACCUCUUACACAUUUNNNNNNNNNNNNNNNNNNNNNNNNNUCGAAGGGAGGAAUGAUCUGGUAUCACAAUCUACCGCCAAAUUCCAUCGAUUCUUUUGCCAUGUUAGCAGAUUCGUUCGUAAAGGCACAUGCUGAUGCCAUAAAGGUUGCAACAAGAAAAUCAGACCUUUUCAAAGUAAAGCAAAGGGGUAAUGAAAUGCUGAGAGAAUUCGUAUCCCGAUUUCAAAAGGAACGCAUGGAAUUUCCACCGGUCACAGACGAUUGGGCCGUACAAGCUUUCACCUAAGGGUUGAACGAGCAAAGUUCGACAACAUCACGUCGGCUGAAGCAAAAUUUGAUCGAGUAUCCAGCAAUAACUUGGGCAGAUAUACACAACCGAUAUCAAUCGAAAAUUAGGGUCGGAGAUGACCAGUUGGGAGCUCCAUAUGGACCCAUGCAUCAGAACAGGACAGCUACUAAAAACCAAAGGGAGAUCGACAGAGAACAAAGGUUGAAUAGAGACCGAUAUCAACCGUACGUCGCAGAUCGGAUGAACAACGGUUCAACACACAAUACAGUUCGGAACAAUCGAAGGAUUGAUCGAGGGCAAAAUUCUCGGGGACUUAUGAGCAAGAGCGGCUUUGAUAAAUAUGCCGAUCCUAUAGAAGCACCUCGGUUAUCAGAGUAUAACUUCAGCGUUGAUGCAUCUGCCAUCGUGUCGGCUAUCGGACGCAUCAAAGACACUAAAUGGCCUCGACCCAUGCAGACCGAUCCUGCCCAAAGGAAUCCCAAUCAAAUGUGCGAAUAUCAUGGCACCCAUGGCCACAGAACGGAAAAUUACAGGAAACUAAGAGAGGAAGUAGCCCUCUUAUUUAACAAAGGGCACCUUCGGAAAUUUCUGAGUGACAGGGCGAAGAACCAUUUUAAAAACAGGGAUUUCGGCAAGCAAAACGAGUAAGAAGAACCGCAACACGUCAUUCACAUGAUCAUCGGCGACGCCGAUACCCCUCAGGGACCAGUGCUUAAACGCACUAAAAUAUCGAUUGUGAGGGAAAAGCGGUCUCGAACUCAAGAUUACGCACCCAUAGGGACUUUGUCCUUCGAUGAUGAAGAUGCAGAAUGAGUCAUUCAACCUCAUAACGAUGCACUGGUAAUAUCCGUACUCAUGAAUAAAACUAAAGUUAAGCGUGUGUUGAUCGAUCGAGGUAGCUCGGCCAACAUCAUCAAAUUGAAGGUCGUAGAACAGCUCGGCCUGCAGGACCAGAUCGUACCCGCAACUCUGGUUCUAAACGGAUUCAAUAUGGCAUGUGAAACCACCAAAGGUGAGAUAAUUCUACCAAUAAACGUGGCCGGAACCAUCCAGGAAACGAAGUUUCACGUGAUCGAAGGUGACAUGAGAUACAACACCCUUUUCGGAAGGCCAUGGAUCCAUAACAUGAGAUCUGUACCUUCGACCCUACACCAGGUCCUCAAAUUCCCAACAUCGAGAGGUGUCAAAACAGUGUACGGAGAACAACCAGCCGCAAAAGAAAUGUUCAUCGUCGAGGAAGCGAAAUCAAUAUCCUCGCCUUCGCCAAUAAAGGGAUCGGGCUCAGAAGGAGAACGGGACGCCAAAUAGCAAUCACAGAUGUCGGCUUCGACCCAGCCAGAUAACCAGAAGAUCGAAGAAGAUGAUGAUCAAAGGGUCCCUCAAUCUUUCAUGAUUCCCGAUGACUCCGACGCCACCAAAUCAACAAUUGAGGAACUAGAGCAAGUCACACUAAUUGAGCACUGGCCCGAGCGAAAGGUAUACUUGAGAACGGGGUUGAGCCCCGAACUCAGAAAGAAACUUGUUUAAUUUCUUAUCGAUAACAUUGAUUGUUUUGCCUGGUCCCAUUUAGAUAUAACAGGGAUCCCACCGGACAUAACGACGUAUCGGCUGAGCUUGAACCCUAAGUUCAGACCGGUGAAGCAAAAGAGAAGACCCCAGUCCGAGGAAAAGCACGCAUUCAUAAAGGACGAGGUAACCAAACUUCUCAAGAUAGGGUCUAUUCGGGAGGUGAAAUAUCCUGAAUGGUUAGCCAAUGUAGUUGUAGUGCCUAAAAAAGAGAACAAACUUAGAAUGUGUGUGGACUAUAAGGAUUUGAACAAAGCAUGCCCCAAAGAUUCCUUUCCGCUUCCCAACAUCGAUCGCAUGAUCGAUGCCACGGCCGGCCACGAGAUCCUCACUUUUCUCGAUUCCUAUUCCGGGUAUAAUCAAAUCUAGAUGAACCCGGAGGACCAGAAAAGGACUUCAUUUGUCACCAAAUAUGGAACAUAUUGUUAUAAUGUGAUGCCCUUUAGGCUAAAAAAUGCAGGGACUACUUACCAACGCCUAGUAAAUAAAAUGUUCGAAGAACAAAUAGGUAAAUCAGUGGAAGUUUAUAUUGAUGAAAUGCUAGUUAAGUCCCUGCGCGCAGAGGACCAUUUGACCCAUUUGCAGGAAAAGUUCGAGAUUUUGAGAAAAUAUAACAUGAAGCUCAACCCCGAAAAAUGUACUUUCGGGGUCGCUUCGGGCAAGUUCCUCGGUUUCAUGGUGUCAAAUCGGAGAAUCGAGAUUAACCCCGAUAAAAUCAAGGCCAUCGAAUACAUCACCAUCGUGGACAGCGUGAAAGCUGUACAAAGGCUAACGGGACGGAUUGCAUCCUUAGGCCGAUUCAUUUCUAGAUCAUCAGAUCGAAGUCACAAUUUUUUCUCUCUACUCAAAAAGAUGAACGAUUUCGCUUGGACCCCGGAAUGCCAACAAGCAUUAGAGGAACUAAAACGAUAUCUAUCGAGCCCACCACUACUUCACACUCCAAAAAUUGAUGAAAAUAUUUGCUUGUACUUGGCAAUAUCGGAAAUCGCCGUAAGCGGUGUCCUAGUUCGAGAAGAGCAAGGUACGCAAUUUCUCGUGAAGGGGUCCGGGCUAGGCAUAGUUUCGAAACCACCCACGGGUAGCACUAUUAGACAAUCUAUUAAAACUACCAGGUUGACCAACAACGAGGCAGAGUAUGAUGCCAUGAUUUCAGGUCUCGAGUUAGCUAAACACUUGGGAGCAGAAGUCAUUGAAGCCAAAUAUGACUCCUUGCUGGUGGUAAGUCAAGUAAACAAAACCUUCGAAGUUCGAGAGGAUAGAAUGCAACGGUAUUUGGAUAAAUUACAUUUCACUUUGUACCAUUUCAAACAAUGGACGUUACAACAUAUUCCACGAGAGCAAAACAGUGAGGCUGAUACACUUGUAAAUUUGGGAUCGUCUGUCGAGGAAGGUGACUUGAGCUCGGGGACUGUCGUUCAACUCUCAAGAUCAGUAAUCGAAGAAGGUCACGCUGAGAUAAAUUUUACAAGCUUAAUCUGGGAUUGGAGAAAUAAGUAUAUUGAAUACUUAAAGAGCGGAAAGCUCCCAUCGGACCCUAAAGAUUCUAGGGCCCUACGAACUAAAGCUGCUCGAUUCACUUUGGCUUCGGAUGGAACGCUAUAUCGAAGGACAUUCGACAGACCAUUGGCAGUAUGCUUGGGUCCAGGAGAUACUGAUUACAUCCUACGGGAAGUGCACGAGGGCACUUGUAGGAAUCACUCUGGUGCCGAUACAUUAGUUUGAAAAAUAAUCAGAGUAGGGUAUUAUUGGAUCGAUAUGGGCAAAGAUGCAAAAGAAUUUGUUCGAAAAUGUAACAAAUGUCAAAAGUUUGCGCCAAUGAUCCAUCAACCCGGGGAGCAACUUCACUCAGUCCUAUCCCCAUGGCCGUUCAUGAAAUGGGGAAUGGAUAUCGUCGACCCUCUGUUUACCCGAAAAAUGGAUAAAGUUGAAUUUAUGCGUAGUUCUGAGGAUAUGUGGUGUAACUUAAUACAAAUUGUAAGGAUAAAUAGAAAUGUAAAUAUGAAUUGCAGAGAAUGCGAAGUAGAUAAGGUUGUAAGGAUUAAUGAAUCUUAGGACUCAACAAAUAGAAUCAAUUUAAGAAAUCUAAAAGAACGAUUCUUUACUGUAGAAGAAUAUAGCGUUUUUAUUACAAUGUAAGCCUGAGGAAAACUUGUCCUCCAGAAAUGGUAACCAAGCCCUUUUAUAGUGGAGGAAUUUGGAUCUAAGCAUAAUAUAAUAAACAUUCAGUGGGAGAACCAUGAUAAGCCAGCUUUUCCACAAUUUCUACCAAGAUUCUCUCUAGUGGGAUUGCAACAGUUUUUGUCUGCGAGCUCGAUCUUGCUUAGAGCCCUCGAUUUUGGUUCAAUUUCAAUAUCAUUAUCAAGAUCGAAUCCAAAUUGAACCAUGCUACAUAGUAGAUCUUUCAUGCUUAUAAUCCAGAGACCAACCAACAUUGACCUUGAAUCAAUUCGAGAGCUCGAGCCAGGAUCAGGCUUGAACCAAGAUCAAGAGUUCGAGUCGAGAUCGAGCUCAAACCAAAAUCGAGCUCAAACCAAAAUCGAGAGCUUUAAGCAAAAUCGAGCUCACAGACAAAAGCCGUUGCAAUCCCACUAGAGAGAAUCUUGGCAGAAAUUAUGGAAAAAUCUGACUUAUCAUGGGUCUCCCACUGAAUGUUUAUUAUAUUAUGCUUAGAGCCAAAUCCCUCUACUAUAAAAUGGCUUGGUUACCAUUUCUGGAGGACAAGUUUUCCCCAGGCUUACAUUGUAAUAAAAACGUAUAUUCUUCUACAGUAAAGAAUUAUUUUUUCAGAUUUCUUAAAUUGAUUCUAUUUAUUGAGUCCUAAGAUUCAUUAAUCCUUACAACCUUAUCUACUUCGCAUUCUCUGCAAUCCAUAUAUGCAUUUCUAUUUAUCCUUACAAUUUGUAUUAAGUUACGCCAUAUAUCCACAGAACUACGCAUAAAUUCAACUCUAUCCAUUUUUCGGGUAAAUAAAAGUAUACUAGAGUGUUCGAAAACUAUAGCCAUUAGUGCAGCCUGAAAUAGAAGCUUGAAUUCGAUAAAUUUUCGCUAAAGAAACAAUUGUGGGAAUGUUUUUGUUCUAACUUAGAGGUUGUGUAAAUAAUUGAAUAAAUAAGGGAAAUAAAUUUAGUAGUGGGUCAAAAAACAUGAAGGGUUAGAAGGCGGCGUUGCACCUAUCUUAAAAUAAUUAUUUUUCUACAUUUUCGAUUUCCCCCUUUUUCUUGUUUGAAAUCUCAAAAAGUCUCUCAUAUCGAGUUUAGACUAAACUGGUAUUAGAUAACUGUUCAACUUUUUCUCUACACUUUGCACUUUUGUAUUCUGCUUGCAACGAUAUAUGCAUAUAACUUAGCUACAACAUUGUAAUGAUAAGAGAAAGCCUUUUUUUCCCCAGCAAAAUUAUAAUGCCAUUUUGGGCACAAUGUUCGACAACAAUGUCGUAAAAUGUUGAUUAUAGUUUCAUGUAGAUUACUAUCUCCUUCCUUUUUCUUCCUUGCACUUCCAUAGAGAAAUAUCCCAACUCUUUCUUUUCUUUCUCUUAAUACCUGAGGGUAAAUUUCCUCUUUCUUAGUUUAAAUUUUUGUCAUUUUCUUUCAUGUUUGGUGAGUGUAUGAUGUAUCUCUGUAUUUUAAACUUUUAAAUAGGAGAAAAAUAACUCGCAUGAUGACUUAUAAUCUGUUGCAAUUUUUGUUUGGUGGAUUAUGCUACCUUUCUGCCUUUUUGGGUGUUUGACAUUUAAAUAAAACAUAAAGACAGUUCAUAUGAUGAUCGGUUCGUAUAGAGUUCAAGUUAAAUUUAAACUCAUUGUGUAAAUGUCUAUGGUUCUUUAUUAUCUUUAAUAUGUUUUUAUGUAGUAUAUGCAAAGUUGGGGCAAAUAUUGAGCUUUGCUUUUCUUUUUUUUGGAGGCUUGGAACAUGAUAAGUAGGGAUUUUGACUACUUAUUUGCACUCUUUUACUUUCGUUCUAGCUCAAAAUUGCUUAAAGAUAUUCCCGAAAACUGAUGAAAUAUGCUUUCUUGUAGGAGUGUUGGAAUAUGAGUCAAAGAGAUGAAAAUUAACUCAAGAAGGAGUAAUUUUGGAUAAGGACCAAAACAAAGCUAAAAGGGCAAAAUGCGGACCGCACAAUAUUGAGUGCGGCCGCAGAACAGGAGGAAGCCUCUGGCAAAAUUUCCAUGCAAAGUGCGGACCGCACAAUUAUUGUAUGGCCGCAGAAGAUGAGGUUCAGAGAUGUGCGGUCCGCAGAAGUCUUGCAUGUCCAAGCUAAAAUUCGAGAGUGCGACCGCACUCAGAAAUAUGUGGACCGUGGAAUUUGAAGAAGUGUGGCCGCAACCAAGAAUUGUGCGGCCGCAGAAGUCUAUCAUGUCAAGCUAGUGUCAAAGUGCAGACCACACACAUAAUUGUGGGGCCGCAGAAUCUCCGCAUGGGCAGUUUUGUCUGAUAAUUU